UGAAUUUCUCAUCUAUCUCAUCUAUUCAGAUUAUACAAUCCACUUCUGCCCUUUCUGGGGCCAUUUGUGGAAAGCUGCAUGUAGAUUUAUGGGCUUAUAACCUUUUUUGUUUGGCAUAGUUAACGGUAAAUGUAUUUGCAGAUUCUGUAGAUUGAAAAAGUGGAAACUCAUCUAGUCUUAUAUUUGAAUUAUGGGAAGAUGUAUCUGGUGGAUGAAAUUCAUAUUAUGUUAUUUGCGUUGCUAAAUGGAAUGGGAAAAGAGAAGCUGAAGCUGAAGCAGAUUUCUAUAUCCACUCACACAAUAAACUGUAGAUGUUGCCUCGAGAAUUUGCACAGAAAUUUUAAACAUGAAAAUCUCACAAACAAUUAAGGAUUUGCCAUGGGAUGCUGUUCUCGAAUGUAGAUAAUACUUGUGACAUUGUUAUUUUCGGUGGAUCUUUUGGGCAUUGCAACUGUUGUAACCAUGGCGGAGAUAUUGAAGAGUAAUGGGCUUGCUGUUGAGAAGAGGUUUCAUUGAAAAAGUAAUCUUUCUGCAGAGAUUAUGACAUCAACAGUUGAUAUGAAAGAUGAAUCAAGAAGGGGACCCAUCCAAAAAGCAUAGAUUGAGGUGCUGUUGGGGAAGACAGAAAACUUGAUGAAUUGAUGGCUGCUGCUACAGAUGAGAGGGAUGUGGGGGAUGGUGAGGAGCAGAACUGAAGGAUUGAAUCUGUUUCUUCUCGAGGUCUGAUUUGUCAACUGUUAGACUUGCAAUGCCCCUUAUUGCCGUCAGAGCAUGCAGAUCAGCAUCUUUAUGUUUGUUUAGUAUGAGCUGCCAUUCUGGAUGCUAAAACCAUGUCAUUUGAGUUGGAUGUUGUUUUUUCUGGUAACCCUAGAUAUCUUUGGUUGAGGUGCACUCUCUGGCACUAUGAGAUCAUAUUUGAUCUUGAUUCACUUAUUCUACAUCAUGAAAGCUGCAGCGAGGAAACUCCUGGAAGGAAAUGCUAGCCCUUUCCUUUAGUUCUGUAUGAUAAGCACCACUUUGUUCGUUAGGAGAUUAUCCACAUGGGUGUGAAUUGAUAUUAUAGGAGUGGAUGAUCUGCUUUUUUGGUAUUUCACAGACGAAGCUUGUGUCAUCAGCUAUCUGGCGGAUCUGAUAUAAAGUCAUCAAAUGACAUGAUGUAGGCACGGCAUAGAAACAAAAUGGAUGGUGACUAUUUUAUCAUGAAAUGAUUAUAUUUUCACCCCUGGAUCAAAAGCUAAUCAAAACUUGAGUAUGCGAAAAAAAACAAUUUCUUGAGCUCGCUAAUGCUGACUCGAUGAUUCAGUAUUCUACAAUUUGUGCAUAACAACAAUUUCUGCAAGUUAAUGAAGGCUUUGUAUGAGAUGA